rnacentral:rRNA from 1 species
CGGAAUUGCAUUUGAAACUGGCAGACUAGAGUACUGUAGAGGGGGGUAGAAUUUCAGGUGUAGCGGUGAAAUGCGUAGAGAUCUGAAGGAAUACCGGUGGCGAAGGCGGCCCCCUGGACAGAUACUGACACUCAGAUGCGAAAGCGUGGGGAGCAAACAGGAUUAGAUACCCUGGUAGUCCACGCCGUAAACGAUGUCUACUUGGAGGUUGUGGCCUUGAGCCGUGGCUUUCGGAGCUAACGCGUUAAGUAGACCGCCUGGGGAGUACGGUCGCAAGAUUAAAACUCAAAUGAAUUGACGGGGGCCCGCACAAGCGGUGGAGCAUGUGGUUUAAUUCGAUGCAACGCGAAGAACCUUACCUACUCUUGACAUCCAGAGAACUUUCCAGAGAUGGAUUGGUGCCUUCGGGAACUCUGAGACAGGUGCUGCAUGGCUGUCGUCAGCUCGUGUUGUGAAAUGUUGGGUUAAGUCCCGCAACGAGCGCAACCCUUAUCCUUGUUUGCCAGCGAGUAAUGUCGGGA